GAUGAACGCUGGCGGCGUGCCUAAUACAUGCAAGUCGAGCGAACAGAUGAGGAGCUUGCUCCUCUGACGUUUGCGGCGGACGGGUGUGUCACAUGUGGAUCACCUACCUAUAAGACUGGGAUAACUUCGGGAAACCGGAGCUAAUACCGGAUAAUAUAUUGAACCGCAUGGUUUAAUAGUGAAAGACGGUUUUGCUGUCACUUAUAGAUGGAUCCGUGCCGCAUUAGCUAGUUGGUAAGGUAACGGCUUACCAAGGCAACGAUGCGUAGCCGACCUGAGAGGUGGAUCGGCCACACGGGAACUGAGACACGGUCCAGACUCCUACGGGAGGCAGCAGUAGGGAAUCUUCCGAAAUGGGCGAAAGCUUGACGGAGCAACGCCGCGUGAGUGAUGAAGGUCUUCGGAUCGUAAAACUCUGUUAUUAGGGAAGAACAAAUGUGAAAGUAACUAUGCACGUCUUGACGGUACCUAAUCAGAAAGCCACGGCUAACUACGUG
rnacentral:rRNA from 1 species